UAGCAAUUCUUACACAACUUGAUAUUUUGUUAACUUGACACUCACAAGAUAUUAUCAGAUUGGAGAGCGUUGCCUUUUGUAGAAAUUCCACAUUGCAUUUGAAAAUGACAUACUUAUAUUUACAAGGGAACAGCAACUUUCCAACAGUAAGAAAUUAACCUACAAAAGUUAAUGCAGAAAUCUCAAGAAGCCUUUAUUUCUUUGUUUGCACACUUGAAUGCCCUCUUUGGAGUCAACGUUCUUUUAAAUAACAAUCGUCGGCCAUUGCCGCUGGCAAAAUUCGUUCGUUGAGAUGGCCAAGUUCAUUUAAUCGCUGCGCAAAAAAAGCUAUUUUUUCGACGAUUGACGAUUCGACGAUUAUAUGGAAACUGAGCUUAAUGGAAACCGGGAGUCGGACGAUUCGACGAUUAAACAACACGCAAUAAAAAUUAUUCAUACUAUGAAUUUAUACUAAAAUAAAACCAAAACAA